UAAAAUUAUACUAAUAUACAGUAUUUUUUAUUAAUUAUGUAUAAGGAAUAUAUGAAUAUCAUAACUAUAAGAUUUCAAGAAAAUAGAAGUGCGAAACAAGUUAAAACCAUCUUUGAACCAAACUGAAGGAUUUAAAAAUUGAUAAAGAUUGCAAAAAUUGAGAUUCUAAAUUGCCAUCAUUUAUUAUGGCUUCCAUUAUUGCAUACAUAUGAAUAAAUGAGGCUAUCACUUCUUCAGUGGGGACAGAAAG